GAAGAGAUGAGGUGGGGGCACAGUGGGGUCACUCACUCAGCCUGGGCUCACUGGAGUCUGCUUCCCAAACUCAGCACCCACCUGGCAACAUGAUCAGAAACUUAAGACUGUUGGAAAGCUUUUUUGGUGGGUAGGAUAAAGUGUUCAGGAAAUAGUUGCUCGUGUGUUUUCUCAGCUCCUGAGAACCACGGAGAGAGAGAGGGGAUCUUGAAGACACACAGAACAAACCUGAAAAGCUCUCAAAUGUCUUCACUGAGCUCAGCCAGGUGGGCAGCAAGGAAAACUUUGGAAGGGUUUCUGUUUAGUCCGGUCAUUGUGGAAACUCAAUAGUCUACAUUUUGAAGAAACUUUUUAUUUCGAAGAUCAAAGCCAGUGUUUCUCAAGUGUUUUUAGAGUAGGAUUUCUACAUCAUGUUCCAGUAACCCUAUAUAUUUAAAAAAUGAUUUCUACCUGAAACUUGUUUCACAAAA
rnacentral:lncRNA from 1 species